rnacentral:tRNA from 1 species
GUCUCAGUAGCUCAGCUGGAUAGAGCAGCGCUCUUCUAAGGCGCUUGUCGGGAGUUCGAAUCUCUCCUGGGACGCCA